UCGUGAGAAUAUUCUUAUCAGCACUGUUGCUUGCUGGAAAAGAAGAGAAGUGCCCAAGGAGUUCCAUCAAGCUGAGUCAAGAUGGGGCCUGCCUCUUUUCAUUGCAUUGAUCAGUGAACUCACAAGGAAAAGAACCUGUGCCUUGAUUUAUCUGUGUCCAAAUGGAUCUGAACUUCACAUUGGCCCCAUCUUCUUCUAACACUAUUAUCACCAUCAAUGAAAAUUGCCUCAAUCAUGUCUCAAGGCUGGUGCCUCACUGCUUACUUCCCUUGUAUGAAGGCUAAGCGAAAAAUAUCG
rnacentral:lncRNA from 1 species